rnacentral:rRNA from 1 species
GAUGAACGCUGGCGGCGUUCCUAAUACAUGCAAGUCGAGCGAACGGACGAGAAGCUUGCUUCUCUGAUGUUAGCGGCGGACGGGUGAGUAACACGUGGAUAACCUACCUAUAAGACUGGGAUAACUUCGGGAAACCGGAGCUAAUACCGGAUAAUAUUUUGAACCGCAUGGUUCAAAAGUGAAAGACGGUCUUGCUGUCACUUAUAGAUGGAUCCGCGCUGCAUUAGCUAGUUGGUAAGGUAACGGCUUACCAAGGCAACGAUGCAUAGCCGACCUGAGAGGGUGAUCGGCCACACUGGAACUGAGACACGGUCCAGACUCCUACGGGAGGCAGCAGUAGGGAAUCUUCCGCAAUGGGCGAAAGCCUGACGGCGCAACGCCGCGUGAGUGAUGAAGGUCUUCGGAUCGUAAAACUCUGUUAUUAGGGAAGAACAUAUGUGUAAGUAACUGUGCACAUCUUGACGGUACCUAAUCAGAAAGCCACGGCUAACUACGUG